rnacentral:sRNA from 1 species
UGCAUAUGGGAAUGAAUACUCAAAAAGAUGUGUUUAAUUUGCUAUUCUUACAACAUUUGAAAAAAUAAUGUAUGUCAAAUAUCCAAUGGAGUAACGUACUUUCAGAAGUGUGUGUGUGUGUGUGUGUGUGUGUGUGUGAUGUGUAGACUGCAU